GAUGAACGCUAGCGAUAGGCUUAACACAUGCAAGUCGAGGGGCAGCAUGGUCUUAGCUUGCUAAGACUGAUGGCGACCGGCGCACGGGUGCGUAACGCGUAUGCAACUUGCCUCACAGAGGGGGAUAACCCGUCGAAAGACGGACUAAUACCGCGUACACUCUAUUUUGGGCAUCCAAGGUAGAGGAAAUGAAAUUCGCUGUGAGAUAGGCAUGCGUCCCAUUAGCUAGUUGGUGAGGUAACGGCUCACCAAGGCGACGAUGGGUAGGGGAACUGAGAGGUUGAACCCCCACACUGGUACUGAGACACGGACCAGACUCCUACGGGAGGCAGCAGUGAGGAAUAUUGGUCAAUGGGCGAGAGCCUGAACCAGCCAAGUCGCGUGAAGGAUGACUGUCUUAUGGAUGGUAAACUUCUUUUGUAGGGGAAUAAAGAGGGGCACGUGUGCCCCAGUGAAUGUACCCUACGAAUAAGCAUCGGCUAACUCCGUG
rnacentral:rRNA from 1 species